rnacentral:rRNA from 1 species
CGUAGGGUGCGAGCGUUAAUCGGAAUUACUGGGCGUAAAGCGUGCGCAGGCGGUUUUGUAAGACAGAUGUGAAAUCCCCGGGCUCAACCUGGGACCUGUAUUUGUGACUGCAAGGCUAGAGUACGGUAGAGGGGGAUGGAAUUCCGCGUGUAGCAGUGAAAUGCGUAGAUAUGCGGAGGAACACCGAUGGCGAAGGCAAUCCCCUGGACCUGUACUGACGCUCAUGCACGAAAGCGUGGGGAGCAAACAGGAUUAGAUACCCUGGUAGUCCACGCCCUAAACGAUGUCAACUGGUUGUUGGGUCUUUACUGACUCAGUAACGAAGCCAACGCGUGAAGUUGACCGCCUGGGGAGUACGGCCGCAAGGUUG